GACGAACGCUGGCGGCGUGCUUAACACAUGCAAGUCGAACGGAAAGGCCCUGCUUUUGUUGGGUGCUCGAGUGGCGAACGGGUUAGUAACACGUGAGUAACCUGCCCUUGACUUUGGGAUAACUUCAGGAAACUGGGGCUAAUACCGGAUAGGAGCUCCUGCUGCAUGGUGGGGGUUGGAAAGUUUCGGCGGUUGGGGAUGGACUCGCGGCUUAUCAGCUUGUUGGUGGGGUAGUGGCUUACCAAGGCUUUGACGGGUAGCCGGCCUGAGAGGGUGACCGGCCACAUUGGGACUGAGAUACGGCCCAGACUCCUACGGGAGGCAGCAGUGGGGAAUAGUGCAAAAUGGGCGGAAGCCUGAUGCAGCAACGCCGCGUGCGGGAUGACGGCCUUAGGGUUGUAAACCGCUUUCGACUGUGACGAAGCGUGAGUGACGGUAAUGGGUAAAGAAGCACCGGCUAACUAAGUG
rnacentral:rRNA from 1 species